AGUGAACGCUGGCGGCAGGCCUAACACAUGCAAGUCGAGCGGCAGCGCGUCCGACCACCCUCGGGUGGUCGGAUGGCGGCGAGCGGCGGACGGGUGAGGAAUGCAUCGGAAUCUGCCUCGUUGUGGGGGAUAACGUAGGGAAACUUACGCUAAUACCGCAUACGACCUACGGGUGAAAGUGGGGACCUUCGGGCCUCACGCGACGAGAUGAGCCGAUGCCGGAUUAGCUAGUUGGCGGGUAAAGGCCCACCAAGGCGACGAUCCGUAGCUGGUCUGAGAGGAUGAUCAGCCACACUGGAACUGAGACACGGUCCAGACUCCUACGGGAGGCAGCAGUGGGGAAUAUUGGACAAUGGGGGCAACCCUGAUCCAGCCAUGCCGCGUGUGUGAAGAAGGCCUUCGGUUGUAAAGCACUUUGUUGGGUAGAAACGGCCGGGUUAAGUAACCCUGGUUGAAUGACGGUACCAAACGAAUAAAGACACGGCUAACUUACGUGCCAGCAGCCGCGGUAAAAGU
rnacentral:rRNA from 1 species